AUCUAGUGUACGUGGCCGACUGUGCUCGCUGGAAUCAGGCGGCUUUAUGUACUACGUUUAAAAGAUGGUUGAUUUGGUGGUGCUAAGAUCACUCAACAUGUGUGUGAAAUUGAAUUUCAUAGCUUUCUUGUGUUUUGCGUGUGUAAUCUUCGUGACUGGGGAUAACAAUAUCUGCAGAUCUGGGG